rnacentral:snRNA from 1 species
UCACUCGCUUUGGCAGUACAUACACUAAAAUUGGAACAAUACAGAGAAGAUUAGCAUGGCCCCCACACAAGGAUGACUGGCAAAUUCGUGAAGUAUUCCAUAUUUUU